UGGCAUAGUGGUUAAGUGCUAUGGCUGAUAACCAAAGGGUCGGCAGUUCGAAUCUGCC
rnacentral:tRNA from 1 species